UGCCCAGCCUUCAGCGUCAAGACUUUCUGC
rnacentral:piRNA from 1 species